GAUGAACGCUGGCGGCGUGCCUAAUACAUGCAAGUCGAGCGAACAGAUAAGGAGCUUGCUCCUUUGACGUUAGCGGCGGACGGGUGAGUAACACGUGGGUAACCUACCUAUAAGACUGGAAUAACUCCGGGAAACCGGGGCUAAUGCCGGAUAACAUUUAGAACCGCAGGGUUCUAAAGUGAAAGAUGGUUUUGCUAUCACUUAUAGAUGGACCCGCGCCGUAUUAGCUAGUUGGUAAGGUAACGGCUUACCAAGGCAACGAUACGUAGCCGACCUGAGAGGGUGAUCGGCCACACUGGAACUGAGACACGGUCCAGACUCCUACGGGAGGCAGCAGUAGGGAAUCUUCCGCAAUGGGCGAAAGCCUGACGGAGCAACGCCGCGUGAGUGAUGAAGGUCUUCGGAUCGUAAAACUCUGUUAUUAGGGAAGAACAAAUGUGUAAGUAACUGUGCACGUCUUGACGGUACCUAAUCAGAAAGCCACGGCUAACUACGUG
rnacentral:rRNA from 1 species